GACGAACGCUGGCGGCGUGCCUAAUACAUGCAAGUCGAACGAGAGCGACCGGUGCUUGCACUGGUCAAUCUAGUAGCGAACGGGUGAGUAACACGUGGGUAACCUGCCCAUCAGAGGGGGAUAACAUCCGGAAACGGAUGCUAAAACCGCAUAGGUCUUCGAACCGCAUGGUUUGAAGAGGAAAAGAGGCGCAAGCUUCUGCUGAUGGAUGGACCCGCGUUGCAUUAGCUAGUUGGUGAGGUAACGGCUCACCAAGGCCGUGAUGCAUAGCCGACCUGAGAGGGUGAUCGGCCACAUUGGGACUGAGACACGGCCAAAACUCCUACGGGAGGCAGCAGUAGGGAAUCUUCCGCAAUGGACGCAAGUCUGACGGAGCAACGCCGCGUGAGUGAAGAAGGUUUUCGGAUCGUAAAACUCUGUUGUUAGAGAAGAACAAGUGCUAGAGUAACUGUUAGCGCCUUGACGGUAUCUAACCAGAAAGCCACGGCUAACUACGUG
rnacentral:rRNA from 1 species